GACGAACGCUGGCGGCGUGCUUAACACAUGCAAGUCGAACGGAAAGGCCCUGCUUUUGUGGGGUGCUCGAGUGGCGAACGGGUGAGUAACACGUGAGUAACCUGCCCUUGACUUUGGGAUAACUUCAGGAAACUGGGGCUAAUACCGGAUAGGAGCUCCUGCUGCAUGGUGGGGGUUGGAAAGUUUCGGCGGUUGGGGAUGGACUCGCGGCUUAUCAGCUUGUUGGUGGGGUAGUGGCUUACCAAGGCUUUGACGGGUAGCCGGCCUGAGAGGGUGACCGGACACAUUGGGACUGAGGUACGGCCCAGACUCGUACGGGAGGCAGCAGUGGGGAAUAUUGCACAAUGGGCGGAAGCCUGAGGCAGCAACGCCGCGUGCGGGAUGACGGCCUUCGGGUUGUAAACCGCUUUCGCCUGUGACGAAGCGUGAGUGACGGUAAUGGGUAAAGAAGCACCGGCUAACUACGUG
rnacentral:rRNA from 1 species